rnacentral:rRNA from 1 species
UGGCGGACGGGGGAGUAAUGUCUGGGAAACUGCCCGAUGGAGGGGGAUAACUACUGGAAACGGUAGCUAAUACCGCAUAACGUCGCAAGACCAAAGAGGGGACCUUCGGGCCUCUUGCCAUCGGAUGUGCCCAGAUGGGAUUAGCUAGUAGGUGGGGUAAAGGCUCACUUAGGCGACGAUCCCUAGCUGGUCUGAGAGGAUGACCAGCCACACUGGAACUGAGACACGGUCCAG